rnacentral:rRNA from 1 species
ACUCCUACGGGAGGCAGCAGUAGGGAAUCUUCCACAAUGGGCGCAAGCCUGAUGGAGCAACACCGCGUGAGUGAAGAAGGGUUUCGGUUCGUAAAGCUCUGUUGUUAAAGAAGAACACGUAUGAGAGUAACUGUUCAUACGUUGACGGUAUUUAACCAGAAAGUCACGGCUAACUACGUGCCAGCAGCCGCGGUAAUACGUAGGUGGCAAGCGUUAUCCGGAUUUAUUGGGCGUAAAGAGAGUGCAGGCGGUUUCUAAGUCUGAUGUGAAAGCCUUCGGCUUAACCGGAGAAGUGCAUCGGAAACUGGAUAACUUGAGUGCAGAAGAGGGUAGUGGAACUCCAUGUGUAGCGGUGGAAUGCGUAGAUAUAUGGAAGAACACCAGUGGCGAAGGCGGCUACCUGGUCUGCAACUGACGCUGAGACUCGAAAGCAUGGGUAGCGAACAGGAUUAGAUACCCCUGGUAGGAUAGCG